AUGCCUCCUUUUGAAUGCAAAGCAAGCUCCCCUAUUAUGAAGCAGCACCAGAAACUCGACCGCACACCACCGUGUAUUCAACUUCAUACGUGCAGCAUCACGUCCUCACCUCUCGAUCCAUAUCAUUAUCAACUUUUACGUUCGUCAUCUUCUUCAACAGACACCUCCAUGCUUCCCCUUCUUCGUGCCGUUAACACCGCCAAUACCGCCCUCAACCUCUUUUCCGAUUCUGAUUUGCAACACAGCGCUGCCGUGAACGACCUCAUCUCCUUUCAGCCGUGA